UACGAAGGGUGCAAGCGUUACUCGGAAUUACUGGGCGUAAAGCGUGCGUAGGCGGUUCGUUAAGUCUGUCGUGAAAGCCCUGGGCUCAACCUGGGAAUUGCGAUGGAUACUGGCGAGCUAGAGUACGGUAGAGGAUGGUGGAAUUCCAGGUGUAGCGGUGAAAUGCGUAGAUAUCUGGAGGAACACCGGUGGCGAAGGCGGCAUCCUGGACCGGCAUUGACGCUGAGGCGCGAAAGCUAGGGGGAGCAAACGGG
rnacentral:rRNA from 1 species